rnacentral:lncRNA from 1 species
CUGUAAUUAUAAGUGAUCUUGGACAGUUUACUAUUAUUUUGCCUUAGAAUGAUAGAUUAGCAUUCCUUUUAGUCUGUACUGAACCAAAUUGGUUGAUGUUCAACUAAGUGAAACAUGUUUUGUCUUUCUGAACCAAAAUGGUUGUAGAUUUAGGAGCAGUCAUUAUAGUGUUUUGAACUGGAUUUUAUUUUUAACUCGGUCAUUUUAGUUCUGAUUUAGUCUUUCAAACAAACAAAAGUAUUGAAUUACCGAACUUGAAGCUGGAACUACUACACCCUCCAAUGGAUGAUGAAAUUGAAAAA